GCGAAGCUAGUACAUCGGUAGUAUGGCUGCCUUCCAAGCAGUUGAGCCGGGUUCGACUCCCGGGCUUCGCA